UAAAACUUGGCCAAAAGCUUCGCGAGGCUCUCUCACUCUCCACUCUUACCGUCAUUCUCGUCUAUGCCAUUUCUUCAGUACUUCACCCAGAAAGAAAAACAAGAUACUACUAAUAAUAAAACCCUAAAUCCCCGAAUCCAAUUCAACAAAACCCUAAUUUACCCCUCCGAUUCUCGCAUCUCCAUGGUGUGAAGUGCGAACCGUGGCGUAUUCAAUUGCUCCCUCAAUCAACGAUUUGAAGAAUGUCACAAAACGACCGCCCGGAGGCGCCGUCCCCGGCGACAGCCGCAAACGGCUCCGCGGCGGCGAAGGAGGAGAAUCCAGCUGCGAGGGCGUUGGUUUCUUAGAGCAAGGCUGAGGCUGAAUCUGAACAAGGAGCACAAAGCGGAGGAGUACGAAGACUUGCAAUUGAUGUACUGCCCAGCGGUUUUCACCGCGCUGGAGAGGUACCUUCCGCCGAACAUGCUCAAUGCUCGUCGCGAACACAAGGUAUAUGCCCUUACGGCGCUUAUGGCAUCGUUUGUUCCGCUCUAAAUUCGGAGACGAAUGAGCAUGUUGCCAUUAAGAAGAUUGCCAAUGCAUUUGACAACAAGAUUGACGCCAAGAGGACCCUCGGUGAAAUCAAGCUGCUUCGUCACAUGGAUCAUGAAAACUUGUCAGUGUUGGAGCAGCACUUUUCUUGUUCCAGCAGUUUGCCGCAUCAAUGGAAGAUUUGGAACCCUUACGGCUGUUCCAAUACACCAUAUGGAUAUUUAUUCGUUGCAAUCCUGAGGCUUAUAGAUCGGCCUGAAGCUUUUGUUUCCGGAAUUUUUUAAAAAAUUUUGUUUUUCCUGGCAAUCAGAAGUCCUCGGAGAUUUAUUUUUUCAGGCUUUAAAACUUUUCAGGAUAAGCUGGAUGAGUUAGCACACAAGGUAUUAACUGAUUAUCAAGCUGCUGCAGUGACUCUCUUAGCACUAUUAUCAACUGCACCUGGUGAUAAUAGGAAAAUGAAGCAGUUGAUGUGCUUAAGAUCUAUAUAUGAUCUUUCUUGCUUGCUUAGAGGAUGAAGUUGAUUUCCUCACAGCUCAAUCAGAGCAAGACCAACAGAAAAGGAAUAAUGUCAAAUUCUGGCAUGUUUUUCGAUCAAAGGAAAUCAGAUUGGCUUUCCUUGUUGGAAGAGGACUUCUGGUAAAAAAGUUCAUAAAUGUUUCCGAAACAAUUAUGUAUGAUCUAAGGGAAGGAAGUUUAAGAGGGCUAGAGGAAAGAGGAACAUCAAAGGGCUUAGGAUUUAAGUUGUAUUGUUUCUGUAUUUUUCUUCAGUUUUUACUUUUGAAAUUUGAACUCGAGAUUUAUUUUGUAUUUGAGUAUUAGUUUUUUAAUGUAUAAAAUAAUUAUAGCAAAAAUUAUGUCACUAAUUAUUAUUUGAUUUAUCUUGUAAUAAAAAUUACAUAAUAUAUUUAUAAGUUUAGUAAUAAAAAAGAAUUGAGAAAUUUAUAUUUUGUAUUGAAGGUAAAAAUUAGAAUUUUUUUUUUAAAUUUUACAAGGCUAUUGCCACGCCUUUAAAGCGUGGUCAUAUUUCCCAUAUGGUCACGCCUUUACGGCGUGGUCAUAUCUCCCACAUACGGUGACGCUUAUAUCUCCCACAUACGGCCACGCUUUAAAGGGUGGCUAUUUGUAAAAAGCGUGGCAAAAGAAAAAGCGUGGCGAUAGGUCACCAAAAGCAUGGCGUAGAGCAACCGCCACGCUUGUAG